GCGGAGGGAUCAUUACCGAGUUUACAACUCCCAAACCCCUGUGAACAUACCACUUGUUGCCUCGGCGGAUCAGCCCGCUCCCGGUAAAACGGGACGGCCCGCCAGAGGACCCCUAAACUCUGUUUCUAUAUGUAACUUCUGAGUAAAACCAUAAAUAAAUCAAAACUUUCAACAACGGAUCUCUUGGUUCUGGCAUCGAUGAAGAACGCAGCAAAAUGCGAUAAGUAAUGUGAAUUGCAGAAUUCAGUGAAUCAUCGAAUCUUUGAACGCACAUUGCGCCCGCCAGUAUUCUGGCGGGCAUGCCUGUUCGAGCGUCAUUUCAACCCUCAAGCACAGCUUGGUGUUGGGACUCGCGUUAAUUCGCGUUCCUCAAAUUGAUUGGCGGUCACGUCGAGCUUCCAUAGCGUAGUAGUAAAACCCUCGUUACUGGUAAUCGUCGCGGCCACGCCGUUAAACCCCAACUUCUGAAUGUUGACCUCGGAUCAGGUAGGAAUACCCGCUGCCGCUG
rnacentral:rRNA from 1 species